UACAGAGGGUGCGAGCGUUAAUCGGAAUUACUGGGCGUAAAGCGCGCGUAGGCGGCUUUCAAGUCGAUUGUGAAAUCCCCGGGCUUAACCUGGGAACUGCAGUCGAGACUGUCUAGCUAGAGUAUGGGAGAGGGAAGUGGAAUUUCAGGUGUAGCGGUGAAAUGCGUAGAUAUCUGGAGGAACACCGGUGGCGAAGGCGGCAUCUGGACCGGUAUUGACGCUGAGGCGCGAAAGCCAGGGAGC
rnacentral:rRNA from 1 species